AGAGUUUGAUCCUGGCUCAGAACGAACGCUGGCGGCGUGGAUAAGACAUGCAAGUCGAACGAGAGAAUUGCUAGCUUGCUAAUAAUUCUCUAGUGGCGCACGGGUGAGUAACACGUGAGUAACCUGCCCCCGAGAGCGGGAUAGCCCUGGGAAACUGGGAUUAAUACCGCAUAGUAUCGAAAGAUUAAAGCAGCAAUGCGCUUGGGGAUGGGCUCGCGGCCUAUUAGUUAGUUGGUGAGGUAACGGCUCACCAAGGCGAUGACGGGUAGCCGGUCUGAGAGGAUGUCCGGCCACACUGGAACUGAGACACGGUCCAGACACCUACGGGUGGCAGCAGUCGAGAAUCAUUCACAAUGGGGGAACCCUGAUGGUGCGACGCCGCGUGGGGGAAUGAAGGUCUUCGGAUUGUAAACCCCUGUCAUGUGGGAGCAAAUUAAAAAGAUAGUACCACAAGAGGAAGAGACGGCUAACUCUGUGCCAGCAGCCGCGGUAAUACAGAGGUCUCAAGCGUUGUUCGGAAUCACUGGGCGUAAAGCGUGCGUAGGCUGUUUCGUAAGUCGUGUGUGAAAGGCGCGGGCUCAACCCGCGGACGGCACAUGAUACUGCGAGACUAGAGUAAUGGAGGGGGAACCGGAAUUCUCGGUGUAGCAGUGAAAUGCGUAGAUAUCGAGAGGAACACUCGUGGCGAAGGCGGGUUCCUGGACAUUAACUGACGCUGAGGCACGAAGGCCAGGGGAGCGAAAGGGAUUAGAUACCCCUGUAGUCCUGGCAGUAGACGGUGCACGCUUGGUGUGCGGGGAAUCGACCCCCUGCGUGCCGGAGCUAACGCGUUAAGCGUGCCGCCUGGGGAGUACGGUCGCAAGAUUAAAACUCAAAGAAAUUGACGGGGACCCGCACAAGCGGUGGAGUAUGUGGCUUAAUUCGAUGCAACGCGAAGAACCUUACCUGGGCUUGACAUGUAAUGAACAACAUGUGAAAGCAUGCGACUCUUCGGAGGCGUUACACAGGUGCUGCAUGGCCGUCGUCAGCUCGUGUCGUGAGAUGUUUGGUUAAGUCCAGCAACGAGCGCAACCCCUGUUGCCAGUUACCAGCACGUGAAGGUGGGGACUCUGGCGAGACUGCCCAGAUCAACUGGGAGGAAGGUGGGGACGACGUCAGGUCAGUAUGGCCCUUAUGCCCAGGGCUGCACACGUACUACAAUGCCCAGUACAGAGGGGGCCGAAGCCGCGAGGCGGAGGAAAUCCUAAAAACUGGGCCCAGUUCGGACUGUAGGCUGCAACCCGCCUACACGAAGCCGGAAUCGCUAGUAAUGGCGCAUCAGCUACGGCGCCGUGAAUACGUUCCCGGGUCUUGCACACACCGCCCGUCA
rnacentral:rRNA from 1 species